GGAAAUCUGGCGCGGUUCAAUACCUCGUCUAGCCUGGGUUCCAGUAUCUAAUUUUUUUUUUGUUUUAACUGACAAACUCAUUUCUCUACUGGGACAGGAUGCUGUGCUGGCUGGAAGUUCCAUUUCUACAGCAAGAAUCCUAUCUGGAAACACAGAAGUUGUCCUCUAGCCACAGCAGCUCGAACUUUUUUGAUUGUCGUUGCUGCUUUCUCCCAUCACCCCCAUCCCCUUUUGACAAAGAUCCAACUGUAAAAAGUCUUACGUAACAGUUCAGGACUACUUCGGUUCUUUUACUGGAUGCAGAAUCUACCUACAUUCGGCUGAAAAUCAGAUGGAAGAAUCCACAGAGGAAAGGAAGGAAAGGCGAACUGUCCUGUGGAAAGCACAGCUGCAGGGAUAGUAGAAAGUAACAGGCUCUCGAUCCGUGGGAGGUGGUCACUUUGGAGGACAGAUAAGUCAUCCUCAGAGAACGAACACAAUGAAGGAAAUUCCAGCCUAUUCAUGUUCUCCUCUCAGGCUGUACCUCAACAAGAUCCAACUGGACUUUGUGAUCUCAUAACCUGUCAAGGGGCCUGGCAUGGAGUAGAUAAUAAAUGUUUUUUUUAAUCAAA
rnacentral:lncRNA from 1 species